rnacentral:rRNA from 1 species
AGGGAAUCUUCCACAAUGGACGGAAGUCUGAUGGAGCAAUGCCGCGUGAGCGAAGAAGGUUUUCGGAUCGUAAAGCUCUGUUGUGAGGGAAGAACACGUACGGGAGUAACUGCCCGUACCUUGACGGUACCUCAUUAGAAAGCCACGGCUAACUACGUGCCAGCAGCCGCGGUAAUACGUAGGUGGCAAGCGUUGUCCGGAAUUAUUGGGCGUAAAGCGCGCGCAGGCGGUCUUUUAAGUCUGAUGUGAAAGCCCACGGCUCAACCGUGGAAGGUCAUUGGAAACUGAAGGACUUGAGUACAGAAGAGGAAAGCGGAAUUCCACGUGUAGCGGUGAAAUGCGUAGAGAUGUGGAGGAACACCAGUGGCGAAGGCGACUUUCUGGUCUGUAACUGACGCUGAGGCGCGAAAGCGUGGGGAGCAAAC